rnacentral:rRNA from 1 species
AGCAGCCGCGGUAAUUCCAGCUCCAAUAGCGUAUAUUAAAGUUGUUGCAGUUAAAAAGCUCGUAGUUGAAUUUCGGGAUCAAUACGUCGGUCGUGCCUCGGUACGUACUAACGUUAUUGGUUUCUCCCUUCUAACAAAUCGUGAUGUCAUUAAUUUGGUGUUACGGGGAGUUAGGACUGUUACUUUGAAAAAAUUAGAGUGUUUAAAGCAAGCAAUCGCUCGAAUACAUUAGCAUGGAAUAAUGAAAUAGGACGUUCGACCCUAUUUUGUUGGUUUCUAGGAUCGACGUAAUGAUUAAUAGGGAUAGUUGGGGGCAUUAGUAUUCAAUUGUCAGAGGUGAAAUUCUUGGAUUUAUUGAAGACUAACUACUGCGAAAGCAUUUGCCAAGGAUGUUUUCAUUAAUCAAGAACGAAAGUUAGGGGAUCGAAGACGAUCAGAUACCGUCGUAGUCUUAACCAUAAACUAUGCCGACUAGGGAUCGGAUGAUGUUAACUUAAUGACUCAUUCGGCGCCUUACG